rnacentral:rRNA from 1 species
UACGUAGGGGGCAAGCGUUGUCCGGAAUCAUUGGGCGUAAAGAGCGUGUAGGCGGCCCGAUAAGUCCGCUGUGAAAGUCCAGGGCUCAACCCUGGGAUGCCGGUGGAUACUGUCGGGCUCGAGUCCGGAAGAGGAGUGUGGAAUUCCUGGUGUAGCGGUGAAAUGCGCAGAUAUCAGGAGGAACACCCGUGGCGAAGGCGGCUCUCUGGGACGGUACUGACGCUGAGACGCGAAAGCGUGGGGAGCGAACAGG